rnacentral:rRNA from 2 species
UGGGGAAUAUUGGGCAAUGGGAGAAACCCUGACCCAGCAACGCCGCGUGAAGGAAGAAGGCUUUCGGGUUGUAAACUUCUUUUAAGUGUGACGAUAAUGACGGUAGCACUUGAAUAAGCCACGGCUAACUACGUGCCAGCAGCCGCGGUAAUACGUAGGUGGCAAGCGUUGUCCGGAUUUACUGGGUGUAAAGGGCGUGUAGGCGGGAUCGCAAGUCAGGAGUGAAAUGCAUGGGCUUAACCCAUGAAUUGCUUUUGAAACUGCGGUUCUUGAGUAUCGGAGAGGCAGGCGGAAUUCCGUGUGUAGCGGUGGAAUGCGUAGAUAUACGGAAGAACACCAGUGGCGAAGGCGGCCUGCUGGACGACAACUGACGCUGAGGCGCGAAAGCGUGGGGAGCAAACAGG